CGAGAGCUCACGCUCACUAUCGGACCGUUUUAGAAACAUCAGGGGCCAACAGAUCGCCAGAUCGUUGAGCUCCAUUGGCGGGAUUUCGCCGUCUUCGUUUCUCUUUCUUCGCGGACGAACACGCGCCAGGGGCUGCGCUGUACGAUUGGCGCUUGCCGCCGGUCGCACGCGAGCAAGACCCUUGUCCUAGGAAGGAUAUGCGUUAGGGGCUUGUAGCUCAGUUGGUUAGAGCGCGCGCUUGAUAAGCGUGAGGUCGGAAGUUCAAGUCUUCCCAGGCCCACCACUUUCAUCGAGUGUAGGCAUUCGUCUUCUGGUUACGGGGCCAUAGCUCAGCUGGGAGAGCGCGUGCUUUGCAAGCAUGAGGUCGUCGGUUCGAUCCCGUCUGGCUCCACCAGAUGGUUUGAUUGCCGGCGCAGCUUGUACCUAGGUCUUGCACCUAAAUCGUCCGCGAAACAUCACUUCGCACCCACCAGUCCGGAUGGACGGUGAGGUUGCGUGAUUUCUGACAUCGUAAAGAGGAGAUCGAUCCGAGUUGGAUCGUGCAGCAAAUCGUUGCGCGAGCCUUCAUUAUCUCCGGAUCAUUUCGCCGCUCGCUUUCAACCGUGAGGUUGGCGGUGAGUUGUAAAUGAUCCUUUUAGCGAAGCUUGACCGCCUCGCUAUCGGAACGAUCUUACGAAGCAAGCUGGUCUUUCUAGUCAAUGUCCGGCUGCGACAAUCGCGUUCAUCGAGGACGCGCGCCUUCAAUGGCAGUUGCGCAGACAACAUUCUGCCGAGUGUGUGGACAUUGAUAAUGAGAGCAAUCAAGUGCCUUAAGGGUGUUCGGUGGAUGCCUUGGCGCUGAGAGGCGAUGAAGGACGUGCUACGCUGCGAUAAGCCGUGGGAGCUGCGAAGAAGCGACG
rnacentral:misc_RNA from 1 species